UACGUAGGGCGCAAGCGUUGUCCGGAAUUAUUGGACGUAAAGAGCUCGUAGGCGGCUUGUCACGUCGAUUGUGAAAGCCCGAGGCUUAACCUCGGGUCUGCAGUCGAUACGGGCUAGCUAGAGUGUGGUAGGGGAGAUCGGAAUUCCUGGUGUAGCGGUGAAAUGCGUAGAUAUCAGGAGGAACACCGGUGGCGAAGGCGGAUCUCUGGACCAGUUCUGACGCUGAGGCACGAAAGCUAGGGUAGCGAACGGG
rnacentral:rRNA from 1 species